CAGUAGCCGCGGGAAUACGAAGGGGGCUAGCGUUGUUCGGAUUUACUGGGCGUAAAGGGCGCGUAGGCGGGCGAAUAAGUCAGGGGUGAAAUCCCAAGGCUCAACCUUGGAACUGCCUUUGAUACUGUUUGUCUUGAGUUCGAGAGAGGUAAGUGGAACUGCGAGUGUAGAGGUGAAAUUCGUAGAUAUUCGCAAGAACACCAGUGGCGAAGGCGGCUUACUGGCUCGAAACUGACGCUGAGGCGCGAAAGCGUGGGGAGCAAACAGGAUUAGAGACCCCUGUAGUCCCUGUCUCUUAUAC
rnacentral:rRNA from 1 species